AGUCUUUACUCCUAAUGGAGCAGCAGAUCGGUCUCCGUCGCCAACCAGACCUUCGCACGCCCGAUCCAGCCCUACGCCCCCUCCACGGCCGAUCCAUCCCCGUGCCGCGGCCGAUCCAUGCCCUAUGCCGCCGCCGAUGCCUCCUCCUCCACCUCCAUUCCCGAGCGAGGGCGCCCGCGGCCGCGGUCUUCUCCCCCAGCCACCAUGGCUGCAGAUCCACUCAUGGCCGGUCGUCUAAGCUGCAAGCAUGGAUGGAUGGAUCCAGGAAGGUAUCCUUCCUCCCUGGGUGGAGCGAGCUGCACAUCCCAUUCGGCCCUCUGUAGUCGGCCAUCUCCGCCUCCUCCUCGCCGUCGCCGCCGCUGGGGAUCGCGUCUUCACCAAGCGCAAGCUCCGCCCCAUCCGACCGACCGCAAAGGGGUUGUCCAUUGUAAAUUUUCAAGGAGAUUCAAAUGUUCCUCUUCUGGAUGAUUGAAGGGAUACUUGAAGCUAGGGCAAUCCAAGUAAGAUAGCUUCAUCCUCAGGCAACAGGUUUAUGUUAUCUUAUCAUGGAGUCAUUUUUAAGUUUGUGCCCAACGCCUUCAUCCU